rnacentral:rRNA from 1 species
AACNGACAGUGGUCAGGUAGAGAAUACCAAGGCGCUUGAGAGAACUCGGGUGAAGGAACUAGGCAAAAUGGUGCCGUAACUUCGGGAGAAGGCACGCUGACACGUAGGUGAAGUGAUUUACUCAUGGAGCUGAAGUCAGUCGAAGAUACCAGCUGGCUGCAACUGUUUAUUAAAAACACAGCACUGUGCAAACACGAAAGUGGACGUAUACGGUGUGACGCCUGCCCGGU